AAGCAAACGAAGAAUUCCAAAAAAAUAAAAUACAACUGGUGCAUUUAUAUUAGAAAAGCUCUCGGCAUGCUUUGGACAUCCAAGAGGUAGAAAUGUCUAAAAAGCCGGCUCUGAAAAGCAGGCAACACAUUUUUGCGUGCGUGGCCCGAAAGAAAGAGACAACUGUCACGGCGAGAGACAAGGUUCCAGAGGCAAAUAGCAGCAGCAGCAACAUCAAAGCUGAGAAGCAACAUCACCAACGGCCUCGCCCUCAACAGUUGUCUAAAAUAAAAACACCAGCCUCUGGUUUGGCUUCGGCUGCGGCUCUGGCGUUUUUCAACGUCCCCCUCUUGAUAUUUGGGUUGCAGGUUGCAGGUUGCAGACCCUCCAGGACAACCGCAACAGCAGUCUCAGCAGCAACAGCACCAACAUGCAACAGCACAGCAGCAACAUUCGUGUCGUCAUCAUCAUCAUCAUCGACUUGUGCAGCAUCAGUGCCUCGUCAAAACGUCAAUCGGUGUAAUCAAGCGUUAAGUGAUUCUGCGGAAGCGCAGCGAGGCCUUAACUUUGCUAAAUACACUUCAAGAAAAAAUUAUACAAAAAAUAAAUAUUAAAAAAAAUGUA